rfam:Felis catus isolate Cinnamon breed Abyssinian chromosome C2, whole genome shotgun sequence.
GCCUGGGUGGCUCAGUCGGUUAAGCGUCUGACUUCGGCUCAGGUCAUGAUCUCGCGAUCCGUGAGUUCAAGCCCCGCGUCGGGCU